CCUACGGGAGGCAGCAGUGAGGAAUAUUGGUCAAUGGGCGGGAGCCUGAAGCAGCCAAGCCGCGUGAGGGAAGAAGGUACAGCGUAUCGUAAACCUCUUUUGUCAGGGAACAAAGGCGGGGACUAGUCCCCGGAUGAGGGUACCUGAAGAAAAAGCAUCGGCUAACUCAGUGCCAGCAGCCGCGGUAAUGGGGAGGAUGCGAGCGUUAUCAGGAUUGAUGGGGUUUAAGGGGUGCGCAGGCGGCUUGUUAAGUCAGCGGUAAAAGCCCGGGGCUCAACCCCGGCGAGCCGUUGAAACUGGCGGGCUUGAGUUGGAGAGAAGUACGCGGAAUGCGCGGUGUAGCGGUGAAAUGCGUAGAUAUAGCGCAGAACCCCGAUUGCGAAGGCAGCGUACCGGCUCCACACUGACGCUGAGGCACGAAAGCGUGGGUAUCGAACAGGAUUAGAUACCCGGGUAGUC
rnacentral:rRNA from 1 species